rnacentral:rRNA from 1 species
AGAGUUUGAUCCUGGCUCAGGAUGAACGCUGGCGGCGUGCUUAACACAUGCAAGUCGAACGAAGCACUUUAUUUGAUUUCUUCGGAAUGAAGAUUUUGUGACUGAGUGGCGGACGGGUGAGUAACGCGUGGGUAACCUGCCUCAUACAGGGGGAUAACAGUUAGAAAUGACUGCUAAUACCGCAUAAGACCACAGCACCGCAUGGUGCGGGGGUAAAAACUCCGGUGGUAUGAGAUGGACCCGCGUCUGAUUAGCUAGUUGGUAAGGUAACGGCUUACCAAGGCGACGAUCAGUAGCCGACCUGAGAGGGUGACCGGCCACAUUGGGACUGAGACACGGCCCAAACUCCUACGGGAGGCAGCAGUGGGGAAUAUUGCACAAUGGGGGAAACCCUGAUGCAGCGACGCCGCGUGGAGGAAGAAGGUCUUCGGAUUGUAAACUCCUGUUGUUGGGGAAGAUAAUGACGGUACCCAACAAGGAAGUGACGGCUAACUACGUGCCAGCAGCCGCGGUAAAACGUAGGUCACAAGCGUUGUCCGGAAUUACUGGGUGUAAAGGGAGCGCAGGCGGGAAGACAAGUUGGAAGUGAAAUCUAUGGGCUCAACCCAUAAACUGCUUUCAAAACUGUUUUUCUUGAGUAGUGCAGAGGUAGGCGGAAUUCCCGGUGUAGCGGUGGAAUGCGUAGAUAUCGGGAGGAACACCAGUGGCGAAGGCGGCCUACUGGGCACCAACUGACGCUGAGGCUCGAAAGUGUGGGUAGCAAACAGGAUUAGAUACCCUGGUAGUCCACACCGUAAACGAUGAUUACUAGGUGUUGGAGGAUUGACCCCUUCAGUGCCGCAGUUAACACAAUAAGUAAUCCACCUGGGGAGUACGACCGCAAGGUUGAAACUCAAAGGAAUUGACGGGGGCCCGCACAAGCAGUGGAGUAU